rnacentral:rRNA from 1 species
CAGCCGCCACGGUAACACGUAGGUGGCAAGCGUUGUCCGGAAUUAUUGGGCGUAAAGGGCUCGCAGGCGGUUUCUUAAGUCUGAUGUGAAAGCCCCCGGCUCAACCGGGGAGGGUCAUUGGAAACUGGGAAACUUGAGUGCAGAAGAGGAGAGUGGAAUUCCACGUGUAGCGGUGAAAUGCGUAGAGAUGUGGAGGAACACCAGUGGCGAAGGCGACUCUCUGGUCUGUAACUGACGCUGAGGAGCGAAAGCGUGGGGAGCGAACAGGAUUAGAUACCCCAGUAGUCCCUGUCUCUUAUAA